GCCGGGCAUGGUGGCGCAUGCCUGUAGUCCCAGCUACUCAGGAGGCUGAGGCAGGAAAAUCGCUUGAACCCAGGAGGUGGAGGCUGCAGUUAGCUGAGACUGCACCACUGCACUUCCAGCCUGGGUGACAGAGCGAGACUCUGUCUCAA
rnacentral:SRP_RNA from 2 species